rnacentral:rRNA from 1 species
AUUGAACGCUGGCGGCAGGCCUAACACAUGCAAGUCGAGCGGAUGACGGGAGCUUGCUCCUUGAUUCAGCGGCGGACGGGUGAGUAAUGCCUAGGAAUCUGCCUGGUAGUGGGGGACAACGUUUCGAAAGGAACGCUAAUACCGCAUACGUCCUACGGGAGAAAGCAGGGGACCUUCGGGCCUUGCGCUAUCAGAUGAGCCUAGGUCGGAUUAGCUAGUAGGUGAGGUAAUGGCUCACCUAGGCGACGAUCCGUAACUGGUCUGAGAGGAUGAUCAGUCACACUGGAACUGAGACACGGUCCAGACUCCUACGGGAGGCAGCAGUGGGGAAUAUUGGACAAUGGGCGAAAGCCUGAUCCAGCCAUGCCGCGUGUGUGAAGAAGGUCUUCGGAUUGUAAAGCACUUUAAGUUGGGAGGAAGGGCAGUAAGUUAAUACCUUGCUGUUUUGACGUACCGACAG